GACGAACGCUGGCGGCGUGCUUAACACAUGCAAGUCGAACGGAAAGGCCCUGCUUUUGUUGGGUGCUCGAGUGGCGAACGGGUGAGUAACACGUGAGUAACCUGCCCCUGUCUUUGUGAUAACUUCAGGAAACUGGGGCUAAUAUCGCAUAGGAGCUCCUGCUGCAUGGUGGGGGUUGGAAAGAUUCGGCGGUUGUGGAUGGACUCGCGGCUUAUCAGCUUGUUGGUGGGGUUGUGGCUUACCAAGGGUUUGACGGGUAGCCGGCCUGAGAGGGGGACCGGCCACAAUGGGACUGAGAGACGGCCCAGACGCCUACGGGAGGCAGCGGUGGGGAAUAUUGCGCAAUGGGCGGAAGCCUGAUGCGGCAACGCCGCGUGCGGGAUGACGGCCUUCGAGUUGUAAACAGCUGUCUCCUGUGACGAAGCCGGAGUGACGGUAAUGGGUAAAGAAGCACCGGCUAACUACGUG
rnacentral:rRNA from 1 species